UGGGGAAUUUUGGACAAUGGGCGAAAGCCUGAUCCAGCAAUGCCGCGUGUGUGAAGAAGGCCUUCGGGUUGUAAAGCACUUUUGUCCGGAAAGAAAUCCUCUGGGUUAAUACCUCGGGGGGAUGACGGUACCGGAAGAAUAAGCACCGGCUAACUACGUGCCAGCAGCUGCGGUAAUACGUAGGGUGCAAGCGUUAAUCGGAAUUACUGGGCGUAAAGCGUGCGCAGGCGGUUUUGUAAGACGGAUGUGAAAUCCCCGGGCUUAACCUGGGAACUGCAUUCGUGACUGCAAGGCUAGAGUAUGGCAGAGGGGGGUAGAAUUCCACGUGUAGCAGUGAAAUGCGUAGAGAUGUGGAGGAAUACCGAUGGCGAAGGCAGCCCCCUGGGCCAAUACUGACGCUCAUGCACGAAAGCGUGGGGAGCAAACAGGAUUAGAUACCCUGGUAGUCCACGCCCUAAACGAUGUCAACUAGUUGUUGGGGAUUCAUUUCCUUAGUAACGUAGCUAACGCGUGAAGUUGACCGCCUGGGGAGUACGGUCGCAAGAUUAAAACUUAAAUGAAUUGACGGGGUCAUAGCUGUUUCCU
rnacentral:rRNA from 1 species